rnacentral:rRNA from 1 species
UAGCGUAGGGUGCGAGCGUUUAAUCGGAAUUACUGGGCGUAAAGCGUGCGCAGGCGGUCUGUUAAGACCGAUGUGAAAUCCCCGGGCUUAACCUGGGAACUGCAUUGGUGACUGGCAGGCUUUGAGUGUGGCAGAGGGAGGUAGAAUUCCACGUGUAGCAGUGAAAUGCGUAGAGAUGUGGAGGAAUACCGAUGGCGAAGGCAGCCCCUGGGAUAACACUGACGCUCAUGCACGAAAGCGCGGGGAGCGAACAGG